CUAAGUUAAUGAACUCAGGGAAUGAUCCUUUUCAGGCAGAAAACAUCUCUCAGGAUGGCAGCUGUGAAAAUUUCAUGUCUAAGGUCCGAAGUAUGAUUUCCGCUAACUAUGAUGAGAGUUCUUUGCCUGACUCUUUGUCAUGCAUGCUGUAUGAUGAAAAGGCCUGCAACAGUGAGCACAGUUCUUUUGCUCGUGACAGCCCUAGCUGCACAGAUAUCAGCAGCAAUGCUACCAAAGUGGCAGAGGGCAAAACAGAUGGGGAUGAAGACCUCUCUAGCUGUGAUGCUGAGACCAUACGAGAGUCCACCUACUUGGAUCAUUUGCAGUUUGGCAGUGAUCAGUUGGAAGGUCAACAUAUAGGACAGGAGCUUUCAGAGAAGGAGGCAAAGCCUUCUGAGAGUUUUGUUCAGGAAACCUGUAAUGCCCUUCAGCAUAUGGAAAAUCAGUAUAUUAGCCCAAAAGCAGUUCCGUUUGAAAGAGAUGGUAUGGAGAGUGUUCUGAGCAUAGGGGUCUAUGGUCCAAGUCUUCAUAAUUUUGAUAUUAAAGUACAACCCGAGAAGAGAUUGAUGGGCUUAUUGCAUGAAAAGAGUUUGGAGGAGAAAUUAAUACAGAGCCAAAGCCAUAGUGAAGAGGAGGAGGAGGAGGAGGAGGAGGAGGAGGAUCAUCUGGAAACCGUAGCUGACAUUGGGAAAGAUAGAGGAAAAGCCAAAUGUAGCACACAGGAGGAACAGAAACACAAUUCAUGUAUUCUCACCACUCUGGAUGCAUUAAUGGAAGAAAGGAAUAAGGUCCUAGUUGAAUCAGUCUCAAGUGAGCUGGCAGCAUCCAAAUAUGAUAGUGAGCCAGGGAUGGGUGAGGAUGAUCAAGUUGAAUGUGAAACCCUUGAGGAGCACACCCCAAGCUUGCAGGAGAUUCAGACCUGUCAUCACCACUACCACCACUCUGCAAGAAGCCAGGCUUCAGCAAUUCAAGUGGAACUCCUGAAGUCACACCCGGUUUGCAUGGAAGGAGACCUCUGGGGAGAUGAUUCUGAGGAGAAGAGAGAAAGUCCUAUUACUCAAUCUCUUUAUGAGAGUGAAAUAAAGAGAGAAGAAGAAGAGUGUGAGCACCAAGACCUAGACAAGAG
rnacentral:lncRNA from 1 species